rnacentral:misc_RNA from 1 species
UAUUAUCUGCAAUGGAAUUGUUUUCUUGCAUCAUUUCCUAUAUUUUUUGUACCUACCUCAUCCUUCCGAUUUUCUGGUAUCUAUUCCGGUCGAUGUUACCCGGGGAAAUACCCUGGCGCCAUGUUGCUUGUGUCGGGGGAUUAGCAGUUUCCGCAAAUUCUUAACUUUGGUGACCGACUGUACACUAGUAUUGUUUUGGUUUUGUCAUGCAGAGAAAAUUUUUAUUAUAUUUUAAGUGAACAAAUCAUUACACCAGCGCAAGAAUCUCGACUGGAAAGCAAAAAUGACGGUUAAAGUAGUUGCUGUUCUCGCACCGCCUUGUUUUCUCCCAUGCUGUUCUCUGUUCUCUUCUCGGUGAAAGACCCUUGAGGGAUAACGGGCAAGCAGAUAUCGUUAAUAAAAGCCAUUAGCUGAUAAAAGUUACGACGGGUUUUCUUGUUUCUCUUGUGCUCAAUGCUUGUACUUAACGUCAGUUAUUGUGAACAAAAUACAAUACGUAAUCAUGAUUUGAUUCUUAGCUCUUGCGCUUCUUGCUUGAUAAGGACAGAUUCUUCUCAUCCCUUCUGUAAGAACUGUAUGGAGAAUUUUUAUAUUGGCACCAAGAGAAUCUUGUUAAUUCAGUUCACCGCCAUACGACUGUUAACCUGUGUUACCGCCGCCCUCCCGGAAAGAAAAAAAAUCAGAGAGAGCGUCUGUGUGUUGCCGCUGAUAUUUUUUCGGGGAGGGCGGAUGUAGCACAAGCUAUGCGGCUGAACUGUUAAUUCCCUCUCAAGCUGAUAUUUUUUGUUUGCAGGUCACAACUCCAGAAACAACAGGGUUUAGAUCAAUUAUCACCAGGAUUUGUGUCCUGUUACAUUUUGCAGUCGUAGAACAAGUCGAUAACAGUGCGUCCUUAUACGCCAGUUCAAUUCAAGGACAUCAUCUCUGUGUGCUUGUAAAACAGCUACCGGAUCACUCGGUGUCUGUAGAUGGUAAAAGUACAGACUUCUCUCUUGUAUCGAGUGUGCUUGAAGAAAUGAAAUCACUUCUACUAACGCCGCCAUGACACUGAAGACCAUCUAUAAAUCGACAAGUUGGAAUGAAAAUCGAAAUCAGAGUGAAUCACCAGGCCGUUCACGGUACAGAAAGCCCGAGUAUAAGGAAGAAGGCGACUGGGCUACAGAAGAGAUUAACAUUUUAACUGUGAUAUCAGGGGACAAAAUAAUUAACUAAUUUCAAUGUGAAUUUUUAACAAUUGUCAGGGAGAGUUUGUACUUACACAUAGAUAUCUGAAACAAUAGACCCGUGCCAAGAGGGUCAUUGCGUUCUUUACAGGGCAAUAGUUGCGUGCAAGAUAAAAAAAAAUUAAAUGCUGUGCGCAUUCCGAGGCCUUUGAGAGUAACUACCAUAUGGAACAGAAACUAGUGUGGGAGGGGGGGUGGGGAGGGUGCUCGGUGCUCUGCAGAUAAUUGUAUGGUCGUAUCGAUAGAAUAUCUCCUCGCUCUGUCCCCAAUCCUAGAAUACGCAUGUCCAUCUUGUUGGCCAUUCAUCAAUAUAUUUUCACAGUCGAAAUGAUGUCGGAUGGAAGCCCUUCAAGUGAUAUAGGGACAAGCCCUUCCCAGUCCCCCCGUGUAGCAGCCUAAUUAAACGAUCGACUCUAAUGAUCUACGUUUGUGUUAAAAGUGUUUUCAGGUAGGAACUGGAUUUGAAAUUAAAUCCUCAAUAAAUAGCUAGAAAAUAAACUUGACCUCGGUCCGUUUCAACAGAGUUCUGGUUGUGUUUCGUUGCUUAGACAACUAACGAAUCGCCGUCAUUUGUGCCAGCGUCAUUUUGACUGCGUUGACCGUAGGCCUGGUUACUAGUGCAGCUAAUCGGAAGUCUGUUGAUUGUCUCAAACAAUGUAUAUUUAGCUUCCUAUUUUUCAUUCUCUAUUCAGCAUUGGUUUUUCAGUCAAAUACUUAAAAUAGUCCAAUUGAAUUGAGCCAAUGUUAAUAUUAAUAGAAUAGUGCAAAACGAUCGAAUAUGUAAAGCAAAAUUUUCGUUCCUCUGCUAGCUUGUAAACAAUUAUUGGACAAGGUUUUUAUGAUAUCCAGAAUAAACCGGCGUGCCCAAUUAGUGAAAA